AGUACGCAGUGUUUGAUCGGGAAACGGUACGGAACGAGAGAACGUUCAGUUUUUAGAUGUGGGUUUAAGCAAAGACGUCUUAUUAACGGUCGGAAGAGUGUUUCGUUGGUUACAAGGAAAGGAGAUGCGUGAAAAGAAAGGUACCGGAGCCUUGAAGGCUUUACCGGAGAGAUACGACAAGGCGAGAUAACAAAGGUAAAACCCUAAUCUAGCCGCCCAGUGUGUAUCAGUGAUUUCGGAUCCCCCUUACGUUGCCUUUUCUUCCCC
rnacentral:lncRNA from 1 species